GUCCAUGUAGCUUAAAACCAAGCAUGACACUGAAGAUGUCAAGACGGCUGCCACAAACACCCAUGGACA
rnacentral:tRNA from 1 species